CCCCGGACUGCGGGAGAGACUGGUCUCCAGCGCCGAAGGAGCAACCGCCCCGGAAACUCUCAGGCAAAAGGACCGCAGUUGUUUU
rnacentral:ncRNA from 1 species